GGGGUACUCAAGCAGGUUCUCCGUGAGGGCGAGGGAUUCGAGACUGCACGGGAGCCAUACGAGAUAAAAGUUUGGAUAACCGGAAGUGUAAACGGAGAAGUGUUCUUCAAUCACACCAAGGGCAAUCCAUUCGAAUUUUGCUUUGGCAAAAAAGAG